rnacentral:rRNA from 1 species
GAACGGGUGAGUAACACGUGGGCAAUCUGCCCUGCACUCUGGGACAAGCCCUGGAAACGGGGUCUAAUACCGGAUAUGACCUGUCCUCGCAUGAGGGUGGGUGGAAAGCUCCGGCGGUGCAGGAUGAGCCCGCGGCCUAUCAGCUUGUUGGUGGGGUGAUGGCCUACCAAGGCGACGACGGGUAGCCGGCCUGAGAGGGCGACCGGCCACACUGGGACUGAGACACGGCCCAGACUCCUACGGGAGGCAGCAGUGGGGAAUAUUGCACAAUGGGCGAAAGCCUGAUGCAGCGACGCCGCGUGAGGGAUGACGGCCUUCGGGUUGUAAACCUCUUUCAGCAGGGAAGAAGCGCAAGUGACGGUACCUGCAGAAGAAGCACCGGCUAACUACGUGCCAGCAGCCGCGGUAAUACGUAGGGUGCGAGCGUUGUCCGGAAUUAUUGGGCGUAAAGAGCUCGUAGGCGGCUUGUCGCGUCGGAUGUGAAAGCCCGGGGCUUAACUCCGGGUCUGCAUUCGAUACGGGCAGGCUAGAGUUCGGUAGGGGAGAUCGGAAUUCCUGGUGUAGCGGUGAAAUGCGCAGAUAUCAGGAGGAACACCGGUGGCGAAGGCGGAUCUCUGGGCCGAUACUGACGCUGAGGAGC